UGGCCAACAUGUGUCUUUGCCAUCCAUUUUUUUUUAAUUUUUAUCUUAUCUUAAUAUUGUUUAGUAGCUCGGUCACUAAAGCCCGGUUACUAACUCGGUCAUUUUAUUAUUAGUUGUCUCUUGGAGGUACAAAUUUUAUGUCAUAGGAGUACUGGAUGGAUAAUGGGAAUUUUCCCCAUCUUGAGUUCUUGGUUAAAUGGGUAUUUACAGGGAUAGUUAGGGAAUUUUUUUUAAAAUCUUUGAUUUAUGGUUUUGCAUGGGUCGCGAACCAUGGCCAUAAAGCUUAUAUAGUCACAUAACUGUUUCAGGGUUUUAGCGUGGGUUCAGGAUUGAUCACCCUGGACUUGUGCACUCCACUUGGCUCAGAAAUAUAUUAAUACCUAUCAGUUGUUCCUUGAGUGUCUCUUAGGCUGAAAUUAGAAUGUGUCAUUUAGAAUUGGAUCGUUCUAAUACUCGGCAGUAAGUAAGUCCAUUUGACUUCGAUGUCAUCUCCUAUACUAUUAUUUAUUUUAAACGAUUCGAGUUUAAUAUACCUCAUUACCUGAAGUUGUUUACCUCUCUCUCCACCACCUGCUUGGAUGUGAGUAUGUGAGUUACCUUAUUUGUCUCUCUAAUGAGCAUUAUGCUAGUAGAUGUUCUUCUGCCUUAAAUAUGAAAAGGUAGAUGUGAGUUUAUCGUUAUCUUUACCUGAAUUGACGUUAUCUUUACCUUUAUCUUGGGUUCAUGUUGUACCUUUACCUUGAUGAGUUUGUCACUUAUCUAUAUCUUGAUUGAGUAUACCUCUUACCUUUAUCUUGUGUAUAGAGUCCUAAGAAUCUGUCCUUCACUGUCUUUGUCGUGAGUGUGGAAUUGGACCACGUAAAUAGUACAGUUUAGGUAUUACAAUUAGGACAUUUAAUGUCUUUUACCUUUGUGCAGACCCUCUACCAAGAGUAGAUGCGGGCUUGCCAGUAUCUUUACCUUUUUGCAUACCCUAUACCAUGAGUAUAGUGGCAUUGCUAGGGUCUUUACCUUAUUAUGUCUUCCUACUGCUAUGAAAGCUAGUAGAGAUGUUAUGGAUUAUUUUUACCUUGAAUUUUCUAUGUUCUUGAUAUCCAGAACCACAUCUUAUAUGUUUAGGUUUCUAGUAAUAUAGUUUUAACUAGUCCUAAUAAAUUAGGCCCUCAGUGAACUCUUGGGUGAUUAAUAGAAUCUGGUCAUUCUGGUGUCAUUGUUGGGUAUAUUGAUAGGAUUCGUUUUAGGUUAGUUGUUGUAAAUGGUUCUUGGUAGUAGUAUUUUAAAGGGUUGUUAAUAUACAACCAUAAUGUAGUUUUAAUGAGGUUUAUACUAACACUUGAGAAUGGAUGAUAAGUAGUGUAAAUAGUUAACUUUCUCUAUAAGAUUAUAGUAUUGUAGUUAAAACGUAGGUGAUUAAGAUGUAAUUUAUUUUUUUUUCUUUUUGUAUCUUCUUCCUUUCUUAACCUGUAGUCCUACUAAAUUAAAUUACAUUAUCUCGUUUGAUAACUCUGGUCAGUUACACAUCCCCUCUCUGUUAUGUCUUAUGAAAAACGUAAUUCAAUGUAUCUCGCGUAUUCUCUAUCUCUCUCUUACUGCGUCAUUGAUUUCGGUCCGGUCUCUCCUCUGCCAAUGGUUUAGGUGGUAAAAUCAACAUCAUGUCAUCCCUGAAGAAAACAAAAAAAAAAAGGAGACUUCUGGAAGUUUUCCUUUUUUUUACUGAAGAUAGGGGAGAAUGUAGCAUUUAUUGCUACCCCGUAAGUGUUUUAUUUGAUGCGCCUAUGUAUCUUUAUAACUCCCUAACGCUUCGACGUGUCGGCGCAGGCCGAACGACCUACGAGACGGUAGAGAGAAGCGAAACUCGUAAUAGUAAAAUCAGUUGGUUAAAGAACAUCCGCUCUGAUACGUGAGCUGUUGCUAUUUGUAGACGAACUCUGGGAAAAUAAUGGACUGAAAUUAAAUAUAUUACAUACCACCAGUAAACUAAACAUCAGGAAACUCAACAGACAAUCUCCAAAGUAACAAAAAAAACAAGAAUUCAAGAAAUUAUAACAUAAAUUAUACCACGUGGUCACGUAUCAGAGAUCCCAGGGUUCGUUUUACAUUCUACAUCAUAUUUCCAUUCCACCCAUAAUAUGGAUACUUAGCUGGAUUUUUUUAUGGUUAAAUAUACCUUAUAUAACUAAUUUGGAUACUUAGUUGGAUUUUUUUUUAUGGAUAAAUAAAUGGAUAAACAUACUUUAUAUAACUAAUAUUAGGACAUCAUAAACCAUUACCGACCCGUUUCACCAAAUACAUCCACAGAACCUCUCAACUUCAGACCGCUCCACACAGAUGUUAUAGUGCCCAGAGAUUUCCCAAAUCUAGUGGACCUUCCUAUGAAUAUACCCAGGAGUUGCAAAAGAUAA
rnacentral:lncRNA from 1 species